UUUUGGUAAAGUAAUGCAAAAGUAUUGUUCUGCAUUUACUCACAGGUUUCCAGAAGAAGAUGCAGAAGAAGGGGAAAAAAAGAACAAUGAAAUCCUCCUUGCAUGGACCAGGUCUGUCAUAAAUCAUAUGUGGUUUUCCUGUGCAACCAGUAAGGGGGACGUCGAGGUAAGACGAUUUUUCUAGACUUAUUGAUAAUAAUCAUAUUUUCAUGCAGGUACUGAAAUGCCAGUGGAAAUCCAUUCUACACCAUGUGUGUAAUGAGCAUGAGCGGACAGAUGAUGACGGAGGACAGUAUCAGUGUGACCAUGCUCCUCUAACAGCACAGGAGCAAAAGAUGCGCAUGUGGAAGGAUUCUGUGGCAUUUCAAGACCUGUCAUCGCUGGUCCUUGACAAAAGGCUUCUGAGAGACAUGGAAAAGAUGGCCCUGUUCAAACAUACUGGGCCGCUGGAAGUCUUUCACAGCGCACUUUUGAAAUACCUCACCAAUGUAAUGUUCCUGCACUACAAUGGUACCCCACUGCCCAUAGCUGUACAUAUCUUAUCUAUAUGGUUCUUGCUGAAUAUGAAUAUUUAUUGUGUUUUUCUUAUAAUAUAUUCUGUUUAUACACUGCAUAAAUCAAUAUUAUUUAUACUACUAUUAGGUUACUGCUACUACAUCGCACAUAUCUGUACAUGUUGUUCAUACAUGCUUCAUAUUACAUAUCCAUAUUUAUUCUGCUCUUACAAGGUAACA